rnacentral:rRNA from 1 species
AGACUAGCAUGAACGGCUAAAUGAGGAUUAAACUGUCUCUUAUAAUUAACCUAUGAAACUGAUCUUGUAGUUCAAAAGCUACAAUAAACACACCAGACGAGAAGACCCUGUGGAGCUUCUAAACCAAAACCAAACUAUGACCCCUUGGUUUUUAGUUGGGGCAACUUCGGAGUACACACUAACCUCCGAUAAACUAUGGUCGAGACAAACAAGUCAAAACAAUCUCCAUGACCCAAUAGUUUAAUAUAAACUAUUUGACCAAUGAACCAAGUUACCCCAGGGAUAACAGCGCUAUCCCCUUUUAGAGUCCCUAUCGACAAGGGGGCUUACGACCUCGAUGUUGGAUCAGGACACCCAAAUAAUGCAGCCGUUAUUAAAGGUUCGUUU